CCUACGGGGGGCUGCAGUGGGGAAUAUUGGACAAUGGGGGGAACCCUGAUCCAGCCAUGCCGCGUGUGUGAAGAAGGCCCUCGGGUUGUAAAGCACUUUCAGUGAGGAAGAACGCCUGGUGGUUAAUACCCAUCAGGAAAGACAUCACUCACAGAAGAAGCACCGGCUAACUCCGUGCCAGCAGCCGCGGUAAUACGGAGGGUGCGAGCGUUAAUCGGAAUUACUGGGCGUAAAGCGCGCGUAGGUGGCUUGAUAAGCCGGUUGUGAAAGCCCCGGGCUCAACCUGGGAACGGCAUCCGGAACUGUCAAGCUAGAGUGCAGGAGAGGAAGGUAGAAUUCCCGGUGGAGCGGUGAAAUGCGUAGAGAUCGGGAGGAAGACCAGUGGCGAAGGCGGCCUUCUGGACUGACACUGACACUGAGGUGCGAAAGCGUGGGUAGCAAACAGGAUUAGAUACCCCGGUAGUC
rnacentral:rRNA from 1 species